rnacentral:lncRNA from 1 species
CUUUAAGACGAGCUCUUGAGAGGUUGGUUUGAGUCAUGUGCAAGAUUUGUUCUUCAUACAGUCACAACAAAAGGAAGAUAUAAAUAAUUCGUACUCCCACCAUGUUGUUUCCUUCUUUCAUCCUCAGGCCCUAUAAGUGUACAUCUGGGUCAUGCUCUAUGAAGAGACUGUUGUUAUCAAUGAGUUCGAUGCAUAUAUUUGUUAGCACUGACAGAUUCAGACACAGAUAUUUUCCACCUCCAAUGUUCAGAUCUGGUGUAGCUGCUGGGAGCCCUGGGCUGGAUAUGUACCCAGGUGACUCAUGGGGAAGGAUGCACCCUUCUGAGAAGCAUCACCUUUCUCAAGAAGCAUGACAGAGCUCCCGAUAUUAGACUUUCAAGACGUCUACCAGGCCUUCUUUGGAAUAAAUUGUGUCAUUGAAUGGAUCUGGCAGUGAAGGAGUCGGGAAGACUGUGAUGGGGGCAAGAAGAGCCAAGUGCCAAGGCUCCUUCCCCUCUAUGGGCUUCCAGCCUGAAGCUGGCCUGAGGAGAGAGAAUUCAUAGCUAAGUCAAGUUCAGCCUCUUGAUUAUUACAUGGGACUGGAAAUUAUUGUGCCUGAAGCUCAAAUGUCCUGUGGCUUCAAGUGACUCCAGUGCUCUUCUACUACCCAGGAGUGAGCAGAAAAGCACCUAAAGCUGCCAGGGCUUUUCUCCAGGGGCAGGGAAGGUUACCCACUGAUAAACUAUCUAGGGACAAUGGGAGACAGAGACAGGUCUGAGUAAGUCACAAUUGUACUUAUUCAGCAUGCCUAUUACAUGUGCAAGCGGUGCUUGGCAUGCAGUGAAUGCUCAAUCAGUAUCUCUUACUGACUAAUGUGAACCAUGUUAUAAUGAUUCCCAUGGAGACACAGAAGUCACAAGAGCACCAAAAGUCAAACCUAGGAGUUGUGGUUUGGUUGCUAUGAACUAUUCAAGGGUUGUUAACUAUUUGACCUCACAAAAGUUAUGCCUAUAGAAUGGCAUCAGUGACCCCAUGGCAUGGAAAGAGGUAUUCAGUGAGCUAGAAUACUGUCCCCUUGCGGAAGACAACUAAAGACCAAUGACUCCCGUUUUGUUUGUUUGUUUGUUUUGUUUGUUAAUCUCCAUAGAAAACUCACAAACAUUGUUUUAAAUCUCUUCACAAGUGAGGGUACAACCCAACCUUAGGAUUGGACUGAAGAUACUUACUUUUCAAUUGAUAGGAUAUAAGCAGAUAAGACCUUCUCCAAAGUUUCCUCCCAAGGGGGAAUCUGGUGGAAUAGCUCAUUCAGUUCACUCUGCCCUCCCUUGACAGUGCUUUCUUCUAUUCCACAGAGGCUAGUAAACUCCCUGGCAGGUAGGCUUUCUCAGGUGAUUCAGGUUUGAUCAAUGAGGAAUACUCACAUGAGAUUGAGAAGACAGAAAUGUGAUGGGGGCCAUGCUCCUGCAGCCGACAGGCAUGUGGUGGUGUUUGGCUUUUCUGCAGCAGCACUACCAAAGCUUCCAGCAUCUAUUCAUUACUUUCAUGGGUAGUGAGGGGCAGAGUAGGGGCAUUCAUUUAUGUCAUUGCAGGUUUGGUGAGAUCCAGAGCUGGCAGCCGUAGGGGAUUCCUUAUCUUGGCAGCCUCCUAUUGCUGCAGCAGCACUGUGGUUCUAGAGGAGGUCACUUUCUGGUUGCAGAGGAGGCAACAGCUCUCUUGGUGGCCCAGUUCUGCACUGUGCUUCGGGAGUCUUUCCCAACAACUCAGCCUAGGGUUUAUUUCUUUCCAAGUGAUUUUGUAAACCAUUUAAUAUCCUGAAAAUAUCACUAACUACCUAGUUAGAAAAGAUUCUGUUUGGCCGGGCAUGGUGGCUCACGCCUGUAAUCUCAUCACUUUGGGAGGCUGAGGCAGGUGGAUCACUUGAGGCCAGGAGUUCAAGACCAGCCUGGCCAACAUGGUGAAACCCCAUCUCUACUAAAAAUACAAAAAUUAGCUGGGCGUGGUGGAGCCUGCCUGUGAUCCCAGCUCCUUGGGAAGCUGAGGCAGGAGAAUCGUUUGAACCCAAGAGGUGGAGGUUGCAGUGAGCCACUGCAUUCCAGCCUGGGCAACAGAGUGAGACCCUGUCUUAAAAAGAAAAAAAAGAAAGAAAGAAAAGAAAAGAUUCUGUUCUUUACCACAAUGAACCCCAGUGGAUACAGCAUGAUGUGUAAAAAGAAUAUAGGAAACAAAAUCAAAAUUAGUAUGUCUGAGAAGCUAAACACAGGGAAGGAUAAGUGCUAGAGAGAAAUGUUUUAUUUGGAGAGGGUGGGUGACAUUCAUCUGUUUAUCUGAUUAAUUUAUCUUAUAUUUUUUGAGGGCUUCCAUGUGCCAGAUACUGGGAACAGCUAGUGAUUCACAGGGGGAAAAGACCAGUGGAAUCCUAUACUCACAGUGUUGAAGGUCUAAUGGAUUAUUCUUUCUCCCUUACCCCAUUCUCUCUCUAUAUCUAGCUAAGAACUUUGACUUACAAUUCUUUUCAUUUAGUGAUCAGUCACUUGCUUAGAGGGUGGGGAGUUUUGGUUCAUAGAGAGCUAAGAGCUCAAGGCUAGAAGACACACCUUCAGCCCAGACCAGUCAUAAGCGCUAGUGAUAGAAUUUUUCCUGCCAGGUAUACCAUUAAUUAACUAGCAAUUAAAGUCUAUAAUUAAUCCAUUAUUAUUAUUAUUAUUUGAGAUGGAGUAUCACUCUUGUUGCCCAGGCCGGAGUGCAGUGGCACGAUCUUGGCUCACUGCAACCUCCAACUCCUGGGUUCAAGCGAUUCUUCUGCCUCAGCCUCCUGAGUAGCUGGGAUUACAGGUAUGUGCCACCACGCCUGGCUAAUUUUGUAUUUUUAGUAGAGACGGGGUUUCUCCAUGUUGGUCAGGCUGGUCUCGAACUCCUGACCUCAGGUGAUCCGCCCACCUUGGCCUCCCAAAGUGCUGGGAUUACAGGUGUGAGCCACUGCACCCGGCUUAAUCUGUCAUCUUAAGAUCCAUGUUUAUACACCGCAUACCUACAACAAGUUUCUACUAUCUAUUAGCACAGUAAAUUCCCCUCUAAAUUAUUUUGCUGUAGGAUGACACAAGUGUUCAGCAGCCAUGGGGAGGUGCUGCUCGUCUCCCUUUAAGAGAGAACCUGCUGUCGGUGGCUCAUGCCUGUAAUCCCAG